UCCGCCACGGGAAGGAAGCGACACCGGCUCGGGAAGCGCUCCCGGGGGAGGAAGGGGGCGGCCGAGGUCCGCAAGGGAAAGUAAAAAUGCUAAUAAGUAGUGGGAAUAGGAAUAAUAGUGUGAAAAACGCCAAAUCGCUUGUUUUUAGAAUUUUGAAAGUUUAAUAGUAAUAGAAUGGUUGUAAAAGUAUUGAUAUAAUUGGAGUAAUAAAAAUUUGGGACAGUUAAGAUUUACGACAAUACGAGACAAUAACAAGACGGUCCGGGUACCUCUUUCUGGGCAAAAUAAGCCAGAAAAAGGGCACACGUUAAUAGAGGAUCAGCCCUUAAAAGCAAUAGCCUGUCGCAUAUUCAUACACCUCAUACAUGAUGCAUAAAUUCCAUUCAAACAAAGGAUUCUGUCUGGUCAGGGUCAGUGUCAGCUUCUUCCUCUGAAUCCUGACGGCAUCCUCAGGACUGAGCGAGGCGGGAAGAAUUCGAAAUACCUCCUCGUGCUUUGUCUCUCAAGGCAAAAAGAGCUUCUCCUUGUAACACCCUGCAAGCUUCAUCACUUGAAAAAACAUUUACAGCUUGAAAGAAUAUGAGGGAAAAGACUGAUUGUGAGUCUCUGCUGUGGUCUUCAAACGAAGAACUUUUUCAGGCCAACGAUGUGCUUUGCAAUGAUGUGUUAGAGGGGCACAUGAUGGGCCAGCUCCUGCCUGGGGUGUUGCUGUAAUUAAGAUCCCACAGCAGGAAAGUUGUAAGAGACAAUGAUAUAAAGCGUCUCAUCAUACUUUAUUGACUGCUCUGAGAUCUACAUAAAAUAACCAGCCGGAAAGGAUGGCAACUUUAUUGCAGCAGCAUUUCCAAUUAAAGCGAUCCUGUUGUAACUUGUACACAGGUGCUAUAAAAUAUAAACUCUUCAUUUUAUUCCUAAUCAAUGCAGCUACAUCAUCCCUACAUACUUCACUGGAGAUUCAACACUUCCCUGGAGAGGUUACACUGGAGUUUGCGGGUGGCUGGAGCAGCUUCCUCGGGCAGGUGCUGUCGGGGUGCCUGCAGCACCAAAAGUGUCUCCACGUCGGGCUACUUAACAACUUCCCCAGCCCACCAGACACCCGAGCCCAAAUGUAGUAAUUGAUGCCUCACCAGGAUGACGAGAGGACUCUUCCCUUGGUACACACUUCCCACGGCCUGGUCUGUGGUUCUUUUAAAGCAUGUUAGGGCUACUAAAAUGAUAAAUAUUAUGAGAAGAAUCCACAUCAGACCUCUGAGAAUCAAGGCUGCCCACUCGGGAACACCCCAUUGGGAGAACAAUUUGUCCUCAGCAUCCGUUCUUUUACUUUCUGUAAAGAGAGACUUCACUUGUCCUUGUAUUUCCUUGAUGUUUGCUUGGAUCAUUGUACUCCAGGAAGACAAAAACAGAGUCCCUCCAACUCUUUGCAGCCCUGGCCAUGGGUGAGCAGCAAGAAGUCAAUUGCUGCCUGGUUCUGCAGCGUGGCAUGCCUGGUGGUCUCUUCGUCCGCCAAGAGAUCGGACAAGACGGCAGAUGUGGCGUUGGCCUGCUUACUAAGCCACCACCCCAGGUGAGAAAGCUCACCGAGGGCCUUUUGCAGCUGAGACCCAUGUCAAGAAAAUGGACAUAGCGACCCUCUUUGUUCUUCCCCAGUUAUAAAUCUGGCUAUCGCAAUUUGGGUCCAAUUGGGUAUAUGAUCUUUUUUGUCGCACUAAUUGAGUUUCUCGCCGCCAAUUUUUGAUUUGCGUGGUGUUUGGGGUGAGAGUAGUAAGCUGGCCAAGUCUGCAGGGACCCCCUUUGAUCUUCGAGGGGAUCCCUGCCCACACCCUGUCACCACAGAUAAGAAACACUCCCUUGGGGACACCCUGGGAAAGGGAGAUGACUCAGGGUUUCUCGAGUGUAAUUAGGCCAAUUGGCUACAUUAUAACUCUUAUCAUUAUGAGAUACAUAUUUUCUUUCUAAUAUCUGUGGCUUCCUUGUUUCAUGCCAAUCUUUUUCCAAUAGGUUGUAGAAAAAAUUGAUACAGUAAGUUGCUCGAGAGUAGCCCAGUAGGUCUAAUUCCUGGGGCUCCUGGGGUGCAUGAGGCAAAAUCCUUGUCCACUCGUCCCAGGUGUCCACCGGGUUGGGUUUCUUACCUGUGUAAGAAUAAUCAUUCAGUGACACGGGGAUUCCUACCAGGCAUGUGGAUAGUGAGUCAGCCACGCUUCCCAUGGCCACGCAAAAAUUGUUCUGUUGGAGGGAUUUUGCAGGUGUGACCCAAACAUUUUCUUGUGGCUGUGGUGCAAUCCAUCCAGCUGCUGUUUGGAUGUAGAGGAGCACAGUGAUGAUGAUUGCAGCUGCCGUGAAGGUUUGGGGUGCUCUGAGGGAUGCCAUUGACACAGCCAUCCGGUGGUCUGGUGAAAUGAGGUGUGUGUUUGCAGAAAGAAAACAGAAAUAAAGGUCAGUAAAAGGUU